rnacentral:rRNA from 1 species
GUCGAGGGGCAGCAUGGUCUUAGCUUGCUAAGGCUGAUGGCGACCGGCGCACGGGUGAGUAACACGUAUCCAGCCUGCCGUCUACUCUUGGCCAGCCUUCUGAAAGGAAGAUUAAUCCAGGAUGGCAUCAUGAGUUCACAUGUCCGCAUGAUUAAAGGUAUUUUCCGGUAGACGAUGGGGAUGCGUUCCAUUAGAUAGUAGGCGGGGUAACGGCCCACCUAGUCAACGAUGGAUAGGGGUUCUGAGAGGAAGGUCCCCCACAUUGGAACUGAGACACGGUCCAAACUCCUACGGGAGGCAGCAGUGAGGAAUAUUGGUCAAUGGGCGAUGGCCUGAACCAGCCAAGUAGCGUGAAGGAUGACUGCCCUAUGGGUUGUAAACUUCUUUUAUAAAGGAAUAAAGUCGGGUAUGCAUACCCGUUUGCAUGUACUUUAUGAAUAAGGAUCGGCUAACUCCGUGCCAGCAGCCGCGGUAAUACGGAGGAUCCGAGCGUUAUCCGGAUUUAUUGGGUUUAAAGGGAGCGUAGAUGGAUGUUUAAGUCAGUUGUGAAAGUUUGCGGCUCAACCGUAAAAUUGCAGUUGAUACUGGAUGUCUUGAGUGCAGUUGAGGCAGGCGGAAUUCGUGGUGUAGCGGUGAAAUGCUUAGAUAUCACGAAGAACUCCGAUUGCGAAGGCAGCCUGCUAAGCUGCAACUGACAUU